rnacentral:rRNA from 1 species
CCUACGGGGUGCAGCAGUGAGGAAUAUUGGUCAAUGGCCGGGAGGCUGAACCAGCCAAGCCGCGUGAGGGAGGACGGUACAAAGUAUUGUAAACCUCUUUUGUCAGGGAACAAAGCCUGGCACGCGUGCCUGACUGAGUGUACCUGAAGAAAAAGCAUCGGCUAACUCCGUGCCAGCAGCCGCGGUAAUACGGAGGAUGCGAGCGUUAUCCGGAUUUAUUGGGUUUAAAGGGUGCGCAGGCGGACUGUUAAGUCAGCGGUCAAAGCCCGGGGCUCAACCCCGGAGAGCCGUUGAAACUGGCUGUCUGGAGAGGGGGAGAGGUAUGCGGAAUGCGCGGUGUAGCGGUGAAAUGCAUAGAUAUCGCGCAGAACUCCGAUUGCGAAGGCAGCAUACCGGCGGCGAACUGACGCUGAGGCACGAAAGCGUGGGUAUCGAACAGGAUUAGAUACCCUUGUAGUC